rnacentral:rRNA from 1 species
UACGAAGGGGGCGAGCGUUGUUCGGAUUUACUGGGCGUAAAGGGCGCGCAGGCGGUUCUGUUUGUCGAGUGUGAAAGCCCCGGGCUCAACCUGGGAACUGCGCUCGAAACGGCGGAACUAGAGUUCGGGAGAGGAGAGUGGAAUUCCCAGUGUAGAGGUGAAAUUCGUAGAUAUUGGGAAGAACACCGGCGGCGAAGGCGGCUCUCUGGACCGAUACUGACGCUGAGGCGCGAAAGCGUGGGGAGCAAACAGG